rnacentral:rRNA from 1 species
CCCUUAGAUGUUCUGGGCCGCACUCGCGCUACACUGAUGCAUUCAACGAGUUUCUUCCUGGUCCGAGAGGAAUGGGUAACCUUUUGAAAGUGCAUCGUGAUAGGGAUAGACUAUUGCAAUUAUUGGUCUUCAACGAGGAAUUCCUAGUAGACGUAGUUCAUCAGACUGCAUCGAUUACGUCCCUGCCCUUUGUACACACCGCCCGUCGCUCCUACCGAUUGAAUGCUCAGGUGAGCCAUUCGGACUUUCAUCAUGCUGGUUUCCAGUUUUGAUGAAGGAAAGUCUUGCGAACCUUAUCAUUUAGAGGAAGGAGAAGUCGUAACA